rnacentral:rRNA from 1 species
UACGGGGGGAGCAAGCGUUGUUCGGAAUUACUGGGCGUAAAGGGCUCGUAGGCGGCCAACUAAGUCAUACGUGAAAUCCCUCGGCUUAACCGGGGAACUGCGUCUGAUACUGGAUGGCUUGAGUUUGGGAGAGGGAUGCGGAAUUCCAGGUGUAGCGGUGAAAUGCGUAGAUAUCUGGAGGAACACCGGUGGCGAAGGCGGCAUCCUGGACCAACACUGACACUGAGGAGCGAAAGCCAGGGGAGCAAACGGG